CGGGUUGUAUGGUGUCUAUCGCUUGGAGCGACGUCUUCAAUUUGCUUGGACACGACCGAGAGCCCGAGACGCACCGCCCUGCCGCCCCCGGUCACGAAGCUAGGGCGCGAUCCAGGGGCGCUCGACCGAACUGGCACGUCCGUCCCCAGUGGCCAUUCGCCCUCGCCGCUACCGCCUUGCCCUCCGCGGCUCCACUGUUCGCCUAGUCGCCGCACCGCCGUAGCGGCUGUCCCCAAAUCCCCAAUCCUGCACCAUAUCGCUGUCCCUAAAUCCCGAAUCCUGCACUACGUCGCGCGGCCGUUGCAGCCUGCAGCCCUGCAGGCGCUUGCUGCGUCUUGCAGCCAGCAACCCAAUCAAGGCGACAGGGCCUGAACCCCAAUUCUGCAACUGCAAUUUCCCUUCACGAGGUGCCACCCAAGGCAGGGGAAGCUAAUGGAGAGAUUUUUAAAAAAAUCUUCUAAUAUGCCUGAAACGGAAGGUUGUAGGCUAGAUUGUUAGAAAGAUGUGUCGAUGUUAUCAUUUGCAACUUGCAACUUUGGAACAAGGUAUUUUCAUAUUGAUGUAAACCAUUUUUUCGGCUUGUCUUGUUGGCUUAUGUUGUUAUGCAUAACAGAAUAUGUGUGUAUAUAUAGCCAUAUAUGCAUAUACAUUUUUGCCCCCUCUCAA